AUGUUGAGAAUUUAUUUUGAUAGUUUGUAAAUUUAAAAAUUGAAUGUUUUCAAGUAUUUAAAUUUUAAAUUACUGCGCGUGUGCACUGCGCAAGUUGAGCUUAUGCGCAUGCGCAGCAAUGGCGAGAAAGACCGUUUGGCGAGGAUGGAAGACUACAUGAAGGGGCAUUCAUUAAACCGUUGAAAGUGAAAUCUACUAGGCUCAAGAAAGAUUACAUGGUUUUUUACGUUACGAACGAUUAACUUCGGAGAGAUUAAGCAAAACAGGUCAAGAUAAAAAUAGAGAUGCGAUUAUUUACGUCUGUCAUUGACUACAGGUGUAGUAUGACGUUCAAGAUGAAGACAACUUGAAUACUUAUAUUACGGAGCUUUCUAAUUAUAACACUUUUUUUUCCAGUUAUACUUUCUGAAUACAAUUCUUUUAUGAAUGCCAUUACCUUCUGUAUAUCUUCUAACUAGUGCAGUUUUUCCUGAAAAGAGUAAACAGAAGAUUGUUACUGAAAGAAAGUUGCAGCUGUUCAAUCAGAAGAAGCAAACAAUAGUCGUGUUUAACAUGUAAACAGAAUUGUUCAGAUGCUACACAAUUUCUAAUGACGUGAACCUAAGAAAAGUUAACCAAUCAAAAGAUGAAAUCGCGAUGAAUUCACACGAUAUUGAAUGGAAACCAU